GAUGAACGCUGGCGGCGUGCCUAAUACAUGCAAGUCGAACGCAUAGCGAAAGGUGCUUGCACCUUUCAAGUGAGUGGCGAACAGGUGAGUAACACGUGGACAACCUGCCUCAAGGCUGGGGAUAACAUUUGGAAACAGAUGCUAAUACCGAAUAAAACUUAGUGUCGCAUGACACAAAGUUAAAAGGCGCUUCGGCGUCACCUAGAGAUGGAUCCGCGGUGCAUUAGUUAGUUGGUGGGGUAAAGGCCUACCAAGACAAUGAUGCAUAGCCGAGUUGAGAGACUGAUCGGCCACAUUGGGACUGAGACACGGCCCAAACUCCUACGGGAGGCUGCAGUAGGGAAUCUUCCACAAUGGGCGAAAGCCUGAUGGAGCAACGCCGCGUGUGUGAUGAAGGCUUUCGGGUCGUAAAGCACUGUUGUAUGGGAAGAACAGCUAGAAUAGGAAAUGAUUUUAGUUUGACGGUACCAUACCAGAAGGAGACGGCUAAAUACGUG
rnacentral:rRNA from 1 species